GGCCCCAUCGUUCAACGGAUAGGACGGAAGCUUGCGGAGCUUCAAAUAGGGGUUCGAUUCCUCUUGGGGCCAUCA
rnacentral:tRNA from 1 species